CUACGGGAUGCAGCAGUGGGGAAUAUUGCACAAUGGGCGCAAGCCUGAUGCAGCCAUGCCACGUGUAUGAAGAAGGCCUUCGGGUUGUAAAGUACUUUCAGCGGGGAGGAAGGGAGUAAAGUUAAUACCUUUGCUCAUUGACGUUACCCGCAGAAGAAGCACCGGCUAACUCCGUGCCAGCAGCCGCGGUAAUACGGAGGGUGCAAGCGUUAAUCGGAAUUACUGGGCGUAAAGCGCACGCAGGCGGUUUGUUAAGUCAGAUGUGAAAUCCCCGGGCUCAACCUGGGAACUGCAUCUGAUACUGGCAAGCUUGAGUCUCGUAGGGGGGGGUAGAAUUCCAGGUGUAGCGGUGAAAUGCGUAGAGAUCUGGAGGAAUACCGGUGGCGAAGGCGGCCCCCUGGACGAAGACUGACGCUCAGGUGCGAAAGCGUGGGGAGCAAACAGGAUUAGAUACCCGAGUAGUC
rnacentral:rRNA from 1 species